GAUGCUCUUUUCAUAGCUUUCGAACAAAUACAUACAUACUGAGCUUUAUGGAGAGUCCCUCUGGGAUUAAGGUGGAGUUUCUUUCUACUAUAUGCAUUCUUCAUUAUUUAUUUGCAUUAACAUGGUUGCAUUUUGUUGAGUGAAAUUCAUUCUCUUUCUCUUUGUUUUCUCUUUCUCUUCCGAUAUAAACUUCUUCAAAAAAAAAAAGAAAAGAUAAAGAGCUGAAUGUACCUAGGCAAUUUCCAUUUACACCAGGCAAUAUCUAAACAAUUCUUAUGCAUGCUUAGCUGAAGUGCUCGCAGUCAACUAUGGAGUAGCCAUGUUAAUACUUUUCUAAAUCAAAUUUGAAUUCUAACAUCCUUCUCAUUUAAGCAUGCAUUGGCUAUGCCUGGAAAAUGGUUUGUAGCUCAAUUUGCCAUAUUUAUUUACUCUUAUUCCAAUAUGGUGUUUUUUUUUUUAGCUGUUAUGGCCUCUAUUUGGAUAUAAGAUGGUGCCACAGACAUGGGAUGAGUUUUUUAUGAAGGUAGCAUAAAUUUUAAAAGUAAGGGAUAUAAGAUGUGUCAUCUUUUUUUGUGAUUGAUGAGCGUGAAUGUCUCUUAAAUUUUUAGUUGAUGAUGUUCAAUUUGCUUCUAUAGCAAUGAACAUUGUAAAAGUUUUGUUUUCGCAAUUUCUGAAGGGCAAAUGUAUUAUUUCUUGUAAAAUAGGUAUGGACCAUGAGAGGUUAUUGGAUUGGAACUGGACCAUACAAAUUCUACAAAGCUAAGUCUUUGCACUAUUGGAGGGGCUGAAAUUGUAUGAUUAUAGAUGGGAUCCCUCCAUUGCGGUGGAAGGGGAUUCAAUGAAGAGCACGUAUACUAUGCUCCCUCAGGAGUAUAGUUUACUUUUUCUACCUUGUUCAGAUGACCUAUUAAGGAAUUUUUCAAUCUAAAAUUUUGGAUGAUUAUUUAAAAAAAAACAAACUUUGAAAUUUGAGUUUUCUAACACUUAAAUCUUAUCCUCUAAAAAUUGGACGUUCUUGGGCAUUAAAUCAAUACAAUCACAAGCUGCCAAUGAACCGGUAAUUUGUAUGUUCUUGGGCAUUAAAUUAGUUGAAAUGUUCAUCGAAGUUACUAAUUGUGUCAAGUAGUCUUGUC
rnacentral:lncRNA from 1 species